ensembl:lncRNA
CCUCUCUUCAUCUCUCUCCCUCCCUUUAUAUCUCCCUCCCUCUCUUUAUAUCUCUAUCACUCUCUUUAUAUCUCCCUCUCUUCAUCUCUCUCCCUCCCUUUAUAUCUCUCUCCUUCUCUUUAUCUCCCUCUCUUUAUAUCUCCCUCUCUUUAUCUCUCUCUCCCUCUCUUUAUAUCUCCCUCUCUUUAUCUCUCUCUCCCUCUCUUUAUAUCUCCAUCUCUUUAUCUCUCUCUCCCUCUCUUUAUCUCUCUCUCCCUCUCUUUAUAUCUCCCUCUCUUUAUAUAUCUGUCCCUCUCCUUAUAUCUCUCUCCCUCUCUUUAUCUCUCUCUCCCACUCUUUGUUUCUCUCUCCCUCUCUUUAUAUCUCUCUCCCUCUCCUUAUAUCUCUCUCCCUCUCUUUACAUCUCCCUCUCUUUAUAUCUAUCUCCCUCUCUUUAUAUCUCCCUCUCUUUAUCUCUCUCUCCCUCUCUUUAUCUCUCUCUCCCUCUCUUUACAUCUCCCUCUCUUUAUAUCUCUCUCCCUCUCUUUAUAUCUCUCUCCCUCUCUUUAUAUCUCUCUCUCUCUCUUUAUAUCUCUCUCCCUUUUUAUAUCUCUCUCUCUUUAUAUCUCUCUCCCUCUCUUUAUAUCUCUCUCCCUCUCUUUAUAUCUCUCUCUCUCUCUUUAUCUCUCUCCCUCUCUUUAUAUCUCUCUCCCUCUCUUUAUAUCUCUCUCCCUCUCUUUAUAUCUCUCUCCCUCUCCUUAUAUCUCUCUCCCAGUCUUUACAUCUCCCUCGCUUUAUAUCUCUCUCCCUCUCUUUACAUCUCCCUCUUUAUAUCUCUCUCCCUCUCUUUAUAUCUCCCUCUCCUUAUAUCUCUCUCCCUCUCUUUAUCUCUCUCUCCCUCUCUUUAUCUCUCUCUCUCUCUCUCCUUAUAUCUCUCUCCCUCUCUUUAUCUCUCUCUCUCUCUCUUUGUAUCUCUCUCCCUCUCCUUAUAUAUCUCUUCCUCUCUUUAUCUCUCUCCCUCUCUUUAUAUCUCCCUCUCUUUUUCUCUCUCCCUCUCACUCUUUAUAUCUCUGUCUCUUAUUCCUUUUCUCUCGCACCCUUCUCUCUUUUUCUCUCCUCCCUCCCUCGGUCCUCUCUCUCUCUAAUCACCAGCGAGCGAGGGGAAAAUAUCCUUGGGUCAUUAGCAGCAUUUCAAAGUCACAGUGUCCUCCAGCAUAUGCUGUUUGACAGGCCCUGCCAAAAGAAUUAGAGUGAGGAAUGAUGGUGCCAUUAUUAGAUGUGGAGCUCAGGGAAGAGUGCUUGAUCCAAGGGAUGGUGGGUUUGGGAGAAGGAGAGGAGCGUAUUUAGUAUUUAAUAGGAUCCCCAUUAGUUCCUACCAAGGCAGCAGCUACUCUUCCUGGGGUGCAAACAGGUAUGAAACAAUUCCAUCACAAAAUGUACAAUAAUAGAAUAUUACAAUGUAUGUGUGUGUAGAGUGUGUGUGUAGAGUGUGUGUAGAGUGUGUGUAGAGUUGUGUGUGUGUGUAGAGUGUGUGUGUGUAGAGUGUGUGUGUGUGUGUGUGUAGAGUGUGUGUAGAGUGUGUGUGUAGAGUGUGUGUGUAGAGUGUGUUUGUAGAGUGUGUGUGUAGAGUGUGUGUAGAGUGUGUGUGUAGUGUGUUUGUAGAGUGUGUGUAGAGUGUGUUUGUAGAGUGUGUGUGUAGAGUGUGUGUAGAGUGUGUGU